rnacentral:rRNA from 1 species
AACGAACGCUGGCGGCAGGCCUAACACAUGCAAGUCGAACGCACCGCAAGGUGAGUGGCGCACGGGUGAGUAACACGUGGGAAUGUAUCCUUUGGUUCGGAAUAACGUCUGGAAACGGACGCUAAUACCGGAUGAGCCCUUAGGGGGAAAGAUUUAUCGCCGAAGGAGCAGCCCGCGUCUGAUUAGGUAGUUGGUGGGGUAAAGGCCUACCAAGCCGACGAUCAGUAGCUGGUCUGAGAGGAUGAUCAGCCACACUGGGACUGAGACACGGCCCAGACUUCUGCGGGAGGCAGCGGUGGGGAAUAUUGGAGGAUGGGCGCAAGCCGGAUCCAGCGAUGCCGCGUGAGUGAGGAAGGCCUUCGGGUUGUAAAGCUCUUUCGCACACGACGAUGAUGACGGUAGUGUGAGAAGAAGCCCCGGCUAACUUCGUGCCAGCCGCCGCCGUAAUAC